AACGUAGGUUCCGAGCGUUAUCCGGAUUUACUGGGCGUAAAGCGUGUUCAGGCGGCUUAGCAAGUCGGGCAUGAAAUCUCUCGGCUCAACCGGGAGAGGCUGUCCGAUACUGCUGGGCUUGAGGGCAGUAGAGGGUGGUGGAAUUCCGGGUGUAGUGGUGAAAUGCGUAGAUAUCCGGAGGAACACCAGUGGCGAAAGCGGCCACCUGGACUGUACCUGACGCUCAAACACGAAAGCUAGGGGAGCGAACGGG
rnacentral:rRNA from 1 species